GUGACCAGUCUUCCCCUCUUUUUCUAUCAACGAAUUUCCCUAACUUUGCUCCGAUUGCUCCAUGCUUUACUUUGCCAAAAGCUUCGUAAUACUGUGAGCGAUCUAAACUUCGACCAAAGAACUACUUCGAGUUGGAGCUUCGACCAGUCCGCCAUUGCCGCUGCCAUUAACUUCCCUCCGGUUCAUGUUUGCUCAAUCAAGUGAAGAAGAAGGUUCCCCUACGGUGGUCUCAAGCUGAAGUCGAGUUAGGAGCUAUCGUCUUGCUUCUGGCAAAGCUUCUUCUACUUUGCUUGGUCUGAUGGUGAAUUACCAAGCAGAAGGUAUGUCAAGUUUUCGAGCAGCUCUUUCAACUGCAGGCUAAGAAGAAAUUUCAGUUGUUCCAAAGAGAAAGUUUGCUUCAUCAUUGCCUCGUGAUAAUAAUUCUAGCACACUUAUGUUAACUUUUUAUUUCAGGAAUUUGAGUUAUGAUUUGGAUCUUGAAUUUCGAUAAUUUGUAAUGAUAUCUUGUACUUUUAUAACUUAUUAUUGGUUUGUUAGUUUGUGGUCUUUAUUUGAAUGAACAAAGAUUGAUUUUUUCUA